CCACAUAAGCCAACUUUUUCCAGCAGGAAAAAGUUGUGAUUCCCUCUCUUCACAUCUCCUAAGAGAUGUGAUAUAGUCCAGAUACAUUACUCCAAGCAAAAACGAAAACAUAAUCCAAAAAGGAAAAAUAGCCUAAACAAGGUAAGUCUAUACGGAAAUGGCCCACAAAGAAAAAUAAUUUCCCCCUCUUCCCAUCCCAGAUGGGACACGACAUACAAUGGAGAAGCUUAAUCAAUAAAGCAACUGGAUCCCCCUCCUAAAAUGGCUGCAAAAACUGAAAGAUGGGUCUCAUGCUCCAUACCGUUAUCUCGCACCUGGCUCCUGUUAUCUAACAAAAAGACCGCUUGUUCUCGCAACCCCACGCUCUGAAUGUGCCCUCCCUUCUGUAUUUUUCCAGCAUGAGAAAGUUCCAUGGCCCUGAUACUUUUAACAAUGUUUCAAAUCAGCUAGGUAGCAUAACACAUACAUACCUCCACACAAGGCAACAGCAGAUAAUAUUCAAUCUUAUAUAUGGUAAUGGCUAUAAUGUAAAAUAACCCCAAGGGUGUGAACAAAAAUUCAGCAAUGAAUCAUAUAACAGUUACAAAGUUUAAACUACCUUCAUGUCAAAAGAGAACAGCUCAUUCAAAAACAGAACAUAAGAAAAUAGUGUGAAAUUUAAGUCCCCCUUUUGACACCCGCUAGGGUGUCACUUAUCAAAAACAGGAUAAAACUUUAUUGUUAUUGACAUGUAAGAUGUAGGAUAAAACUUUGGUCAUGGAAAACAGAGUAAAGAAUUAUUAGAAACCAUCUGGUCCUCUCAGCUACUCCUAUCCUGUACCAGGUGGGCUCCUUGCCACCCAGGGACUCUAAACCUUCACAACAGGGAGAACAAACAUACUGGAAAGAAAACCUAUCAUAAAAAUGUAUAACAAGGAACUGUGGUGGUGUAAAAUGUAUUCUACUACCUCACCCUCAGCAUACCAUGGGUCAUCCUCAGUCAGUCCCAUCCUCUCCUGAAAGCAUGCUUCCGUAUCGGCAUCUCCAACUGGAGCAUCAAGCAAAGGCAACAUGCCUGAAGCCUUCACCAUAUCUGUAACA